AUGCACGCUGGCGGCGUGCCUAAUACAUGCAAGUCGAGCGAACGGACGAGAAGCUUGCUUUUCUGAUGUUAGCGGCGGACGGGUGAGUAACACGUGGAUAACCUACCUAUAAGACUGGGAUAACUUCGGGAAACCGGAGCUAAUACCGGAUAAUAUUUUGAACCGCAUGGUUCAAAAGUGAAAGACGGUCUUGCUGUCACUUAUAGAUGGAUCUGCGCUGCAUUAGCUAGUUGGUAAGGUAACGGCUUACCAAGGCAACGAUGCAUAGCCGACCUGAGAGGGUGAUCGGCCACACUGGAACUGAGACACGGUCCAGACUCCUACGGGAGGCAGCAGUAGGGAAUCUUCCGCAAUGGGCGAAAGCCUGACGGAGCAACGCCGCGUGAGUGAUGAAGGUCUUCGGAUCGUAAAACUCUGUUAUUAGGGAAGAACAUAUGUGUAAGUAACUGUGCACAUCUUGACGGUACCUAAUCAGAAAGCCACGGCUAACUACGUG
rnacentral:rRNA from 1 species